CUGGCUCAGGAUGAACGCUAGCUACAGGCUUAACACAUGCAAGUCGAGGGGCAGCAUGAACUUAGCUUGCUAAGUUUGAUGGCGACCGGCGCACGGGUGAGUAACACGUAUCCAACCUGCCGAUGACUCGGGGAUAGCCUUUCGAAAGAAAGAUUAAUACCCGAUGGCAUAGUUCUUCCGCAUGGUAGAACUAUUAAAGAAUUUCGGUCAUCGAUGGGGAUGCGUUCCAUUAGGUUGUUGGCGGGGUAACGGCCCA
rnacentral:rRNA from 1 species